AAGCCCAACGAUUUUGAAAAUUUUUAUUAGAUGCUUGAUUUUAUAGGAUUCUAGGGUGCUUGGUAUAAAUACCAAACCCUAUCAGAAAUCCAUCCUCUAGACGUGAGAUUUUGACGUCUUUUUUUUUUUUCCCUCUCGUACUCUGAAGAUGAAAAGACGUCAAAGAGAGAAGAAGAUCUGACCUGAGAAGACGAACUGACCUGAAGCUGACCUCAACCUGUGAAUCUUGUGGAAAUCAUCACUUGUUAAAAAUAGUAUUAUCAUCAUGGUUGAUCCACAACAAGAUG